AUACUAUGGGACUACGGCGGGGGGAUCUGAUAGAGAAUGCUGGCAAAAUGGUUCUUCUGGAUAAGCUCCUUCCAAAAGUGAAGGACGUGGUUCAAGGGUGUUAAUAUUUUCACAGAUGACUAGAGUUUUAGACAUUCUUGAAGAGUACCUAAUGUUCCGUGGUCAUCAAUAUUUCCGGAUUGACGGGAAAUACUGGUGGCGAGGAUCGUGAAGCUUCCAUUGAAGCAUUUAACAAGUCAGGAAGAAUUCACAGGUUGAUUUGCAAGUUCAGGAU